UAUAACUAACUUGCUGAAAAUGACGUCAUUGCGGGUUGGGAAGUGCGGUAUGGCUAUGAAUUCUUAAGUAUUAUGCAAUGGUUGCUUGGAAAAUUAGCAUGAUGUGUGCGGAUGGAAAUAGAAAUUAAAAGUGUUAUUCUUAAGCCUAUUCAAUGUGACUCUGUAGAGGGAUACAGGGAAUUCACUAAACUUGCCAUGCUUUUCUUUCAGCUUUCAUUAUUUAAUAAACUUCCUUUGUUUACUUGGCUUGUACAAACGCUUUUAAUUAAUAAUAAAAUAGCUUUAGAAUAACAGUUAACAAGGUAAUGGAAUUUUAUUGGUAGACGAAAUACUUAA